ACGACCUUACUUAGACAGGAUCUAUUCUAUAGUGUCGUACCGUUGCAUCCUUACCAUUAAGGAGGCAAGCACAAAAGUCUGGUUGAUGCAUUCUGACCUCUAGGCUUGAGCCUGAUUAACGGAUUGGAUGCUCUUGGUAGAGUCAUCCGAUGGCUGUAGAUGAUCGUUCUUGCCUGGCUCUGGCUUGUGCAGUAUGGCCUAGAGGUUGUCUGACAGACU